CUUUACUGGAGGCAAAAACACAGACCCACAAAAUAUUUUGUAUUAUCCAAGGUUCAGUCCAAGGUUCCUGCCUGCCUAUUUUAUUUCCGUAGAAUGGAGAAGAAAGUUAUACAGAAGGCAGUAUCUGGAAUACCAUUUUUUGGACAUGUACUAUACAUAGGAAGAAGCAGACGGUAAUCCCCAGGUAGAGAACUAGAAGGCUGG
rnacentral:lncRNA from 1 species